rnacentral:rRNA from 1 species
ACUCCUACGGGAGGCAGCAGUAGGGAAUAUUGCGCAAUGGGGGAAACCCUGACGCAGCGACGCCGCGUGAGUGAUGACGGCCUUCGGGUUGUAAAACUCUGUCCUCAGGGAAGAAACAAAUGACGGUACCUGAGGAGGAAGCCCCGGCUAACUACGUGCCAGCAGCCGCGGUAAUACGUAGGGGGCGAGCGUUGUCCGGAAUUAUUGGGCGUAAAGGGUGCGUAGGCGGCCUUUUAAGUCAGAUGUGAAAGACCACAGCUUAACUGUGGGGUUGCAUUUGAAACUGGAAGGCUUGAGUAUCGGAGAGGGUAGUGGAAUUCCAAGUGUAGCGGUGAAAUGCGUAGAUAUUUGGAGGAACACCAGUGGCGAAGGCGACUACCUGGACGAAAACUGACGCUGAGGCACGAAAGCUAGGGGAGCAAACAGGAUUAGAUACCCCGGUAGUCC